rnacentral:rRNA from 1 species
GACGAACCGUGCGAACGUUGUUCGGAAUCACUGGGCUUAAAGGGCGCGUAGGCGGGCCGCCAAGUCAGGGGUGAAAUACUCCAGCUCAACUGGAGAACAGCUUUUGAUACUGGCGGCCUCGAGUGAGGUAGGGGCAUGCGGAACAUUGGGUGGAGCGGUGAAAUGCGUUGAUAUCCAAUGGAACUCCGGUGGCGAAAGCGGCGUGCUGGACCUCGAACUGACGGCUGAGGCGCGAAAGCCAGGGGAGCAAAGCGG